GACGAACGCUGGCGGCGUGCUUAACACAUGCAAGUCGAGCGGUAAGGCCCCUUCGGGGGUACACGAGCGGCGAACGGGUGAGUAACACGUGAGCAAUCUGCCCAUCACAUCGGGAUAACUCCGGGAAACCGAAGCUAAUACCGAAUACGACCACCUCCGGCAUCGGAGGUGGUGGAAAGCUCCGGCGGUGAUGGAUGAGCUCGCGGCCUAUCAGCUUGUUGGUGGGGUAAUGGCCUACCAAGGCUUCGACGGGUAGCCGGCCUGAGAGGGUGACCGGCCACACUGGGACUGAGACACGGCCCAGACUCCUACGGGAGGCAGCAGUGGGGAAUAUUGGACAAUGGGCGAAAGCCUGAUCCAGCAACGCCGCGUGAGGGAUGACGGCCUUCGGGUUGUAAACCUCUUUCAGCAGGGACGAAGCGCAAGUGACGGUACCUGCAGAAGAAGCACCGGCCAACUACGUGCCAGCCGCCGCGGUAACAC
rnacentral:rRNA from 1 species